rnacentral:rRNA from 1 species
GUUUAGGAGUGAGCGUGUCGGGUUCGGAGCCGGCGGCAAGUCCCCCUGACCGGGGCCUGUCCGAAGCGGGUGCGAGGCCCAUAGCCGCCGGCCCCGUCUCGAAUGCGAUCUCCUGGGAGUCGGGUUGCUUGGGAGUGCAGCCCUAAUCGGGUGGUAAACUCCACCUAAGGCUAAAUACCGCCGUGAGACCGAUAGCAAACAAGUACCGUGAGGGAAAGUUGCAAAGAACUUUGAAGAGAGAGUUCAAGAGUACGUGAAACUGCUCAGAGGUAAACGGGUGGGCCCUCGAAAUCCUGUGGCGAGAGGAUUCAGUCCGUUUCGGCGCGACGUCCGUCAGGAGGACUCCAUGUGGCUUCCGCGCGACGCGGGCCGUCUUCCGGGGCGCCAUCGUUCGAAUCGGACGCAUUUGUCUCUCGUCCCGUGGACGCUGCAGCCGGUCUGGGAGUGCAAGCGUGACGGCCUGGAGGUCGGGAGCCGGCAGGUGGCCGGUGGUUCCGCCGCGUUGCGGGCCGCCGGCUGUUAGCCAUCCCGUCAGUGGCUCGUCCCCAGACCGUGGUGUCGCGAGUCCCUUCGGGGACUCCUCGUCUCCUCCCCCGUAAUGGAGCGGAACAGGGCGCGGCCGCGGUUCCGGGAGUUCGACCGUCGCACCGACACGGGGUGGGCGGAAGAUCCCGGGGCCCAUUCUGCCGCGACGGGUCCGCGGGGGACCGGAGGCUGGCAGCGAGUAGGUCGGUCACCCACCCGACCCGUCUUGAAACACGGACCAAGGAGUCUAACAUGUGCGCGAGUCAGUGGGUCUUGAACAGGCCCACGGGCGCAAUGAAAGCGAAGGAUCCGCCCCGAGCGGUCCGAGUGGGGAUCCCCGGCCCUUGCGGUCGGGGCGCACCCGCGACCCGUCCUAUCCGGCUCGCCGGUUGGGCGGCGUAUGAGCGUACACGUUGGGACCCGAAAGAUGGUGAACUAUGCCCGGACAGGACGAGGCCAGAGGAAACUCUGGUGGAGGUCCG